UACAGAGGGGGCUAGCGUUGUUCGGAAUUACUGGGCGUAAAGGGCGCGUAGGCGGCCCUCUAAGUCGAACGUGAAAUCCCCGGGCUCAACCCGGGAACUGCGUCCGAUACUGGAGGGCUCGAAUCCGGGAGAGGGAUGUGGAAUUCCAGGUGUAGCGGUGAAAUGCGUAGAUAUCUGGAGGAACACCGGUGGCGAAGGCGGCAUCCUGGACCGGUAUUGACGCUGAGGCGCGAAAGCCAGGGGAGCAAACGGG
rnacentral:rRNA from 1 species